UACGGGGGGGGCAAGCGUUGUUCGGAAUUACUGGGCGUAAAGGGCUCGUAGGUGGCCAACUAAGUCGGACGUGAAAUCCCUCAGCUUAACUGGGGAACUGCGUCCGAUACUGGAUGGCUUGAGUUUGGGAGAGGGAUGCGGAAUUCCAGGUGUAGCGGUGAAAUGCGUAGAUAUCAUUUGGAACGCCAAUGGUGAAAACAGCUCGCUGGGGGUGUACUGACACUGAGACACGAAAGCCAGGGGAGCGAACGGG
rnacentral:rRNA from 1 species